rnacentral:rRNA from 1 species
GACCAUCUCCCAACCCUAAAUACUCCCUAGUGACCGAUAGUGAACCAGUACCGUGAGGGAAAGGUGAAAAGCACCCCGGGAGGGGAGUGAAAUAGAACCUGAAACCGUGUGCCUACAACAAGUUCGAGCCCGUUAAUGGGUGAGAGCGUGCCUUUUGUAGAAUGAACCGGCGAGUUACGUUAUGAUGCGAGGUUAAGUUGAAGAGACGGAGCCGUAGGGAAACCGAGUCUGAAUAGGGCGCCUUAGUAUCAUGACGUAGACCCGAAACCAUGUGACCUACCCAUGAGCAGGUUGAAGGUGCGGUAAGACGCACUGGAGGACCGAACCAGGGCACGUUGAAAAGUGCUUGGAUGACUUGUGGGUAGCGGAGAAAUUCCAAACGAACUUGGAGAUAGCUGGUUCUCUCCGAAAUAGCUUUAGGGCUAGCGUCGACAUUAGAGAUUCUUGGAGGUAGAGCACUGUUUGGGUGAGGGGUCCAUCCCGGAUUACCAAUCUCAGAUAAACUCCGAAUGCCAAUGAAUUAUGGUCGGCAGUCAGACUGCGAGUGCUAAGAUCCGUAGUCGAAAGGGAAACAGCCCAGACCACCAGCUAAGGUCCCAAAAUAAUUGUUAAGUGGAAAAGGAUGUGGGGUUGCACAGACAACUAGGAUGUUAGCUUAGAAGCAGCUAUUCAUUCAAAGAGUGCGUAAUAGCUCACUAGUCGAGUGACCCUGCGCCGAAAAUGUACCGGGGCUAAAACAAUUUACCGAAGCUGUGGAUACCUUUAUAGGUAUGGUAGGAGAGCGUUCUAUGUGUGAUGAAGGUAUACCGUGAGGAGUGCUGGAACGCAUAGAAGUGAGAAUGCCGGUAUGAGUAGCGAAAGACAGGUGAGAAUCCUGUCCACCGUAAGACUAAGGUUUCCAGGGGAAGGCUCGUCCGCCCUGGGUUAGUCGGGACCUAAGGAGAGACCGAAAGGUGUAUCCGAUGGACAACAGGUUGAUAUUCCUGUACUAGAGUAUGUAGUGAUGGAGGGACGCAGUAGGCUAACUAAAGCAGACGAUUGGAAGAGUCUGUCUAAGCAGUGAGGUGUGAAUUGAGUCAAAUGCUUAAUUCUAUAACAUUGAGCUGUGAUGGGGAGCGAAGUUUAGUAGCGAAGUUAGUGACGUCACACUGCCAAGAAAAGCUUCUAGCGUUUAAACAUACUCUACCCGUACCGCAAACCGACACAGGUAGUCGAGGCGAGUAGCCUCAGGUGAGCGAGAGAACUCUCGUUAAGGAACUCGGCAAAAUGACCCCGUAACUUCGGGAGAAGGGGUGCUGACUUAAAGUCAGCCGCAGUGAAUAGGCCCAAGCAACUGUUUAUCAAAAACACAGCUCUCUGCUAAAUCGUAAGAUGAUGUAUAGGGGGUGACGCCUGCCCGGUGCUGGAAGGUUAAGAGGAGUGCUUAGCGUAAGCGAAGGUAUGAAUUGAAGCCCCAGUAAACGGCGGCCGUAACUAUAACGGUCCUAAGGUAGCGAAAUUCCUUGUCGGGUAAGUUCCGACCCGCACGAAAGGCGUAAUGAUUUGGGCACUGUCUCAACGAGAGACUCGGUGAAAUUUUAGUACCUGUGAAGAUGCAGGUUACCCGCGACAGGACGGAAAGACCCCAUGGAGCUUUACUGCAGUUUGAUAUUGAGUGUCUGUACCACAUGUACAGGAUAGGUAGGAGUCUAAGAGAUCGGGACGCCAGUUUCGAAGGAGACGCUGUUGGGAUACUACCCUUGUGUUAUGGCCACUCUAACCCAGAUAGGUGAUCCCUAUCGGAGACAGUGUCUGACGGGCAGUUUGACUGGGGCGGUCGCCUCCUAAAAGGUAACGGAGGCGCCCAAAGGUUCCCUCAGAAUGGUUGGAAAUCAUUCGCAGAGUGUAAAGGUAUAAGGGAGCUUGACUGCGAGAGCUACAACUCGAGCAGGGACGAAAGUCGGGCUUAGUGAUCCGGUGGUUCCGUAUGGAAGGGCCAUCGCUCAACGGAUAAAAGCUACCCUGGGGAUAACAGGCUUAUCUCCCCCAAGAGUUCACAUCGACGGGGAGGUUUGGCACCUCGAUGUCGGCUCGUCGCAUCCUGGGGCUGGAGCAGGUCCCAAGGGUUGGGCUGUUCGCCCAUUAAAGCGGCACGCGAGCUGGGUUCAGAACGUCGUGAGACAGUUCGGUCCCUAUCCGUCGCGGGCGUAGGAAAUUUGAGAGGAUCUGCUCCUAGUACGAGAGGACCAGAGUGGACUUACCGCUGGUGUACCAGUUGUCUUGCCAAAGGCAUCGCUGGGUAGCUAUGUAGGGAAGGGAUAAACGCUGAAAGCAUCUAAGUGUGAAACCCACCUCAAGAUGAGAUUUCCCAUGAUUAUAUAUCAGUAAGAGCCCUGAGAGAUGAUCAGGUAGAUAGGUUAGAAGUGGAAGUGUGGCGACACAUGUAGCGGACUAAUACUAAUAGCUCGAGGACUUAUCCAA